rnacentral:rRNA from 1 species
CCUACGGGCGGCAGCAGUGGGGAAUAUUGGGCAAUGGGCGCAAGCCUGACCCAGCCAUGCCGCGUGCAGGAAGACGGCUCUAUGAGUUGUAAACUGCUUUUGUACAAGGGUAAACCUGAAUACGUGUAUUCAGCUGAAAGUACUGUACGAAUAAGGAUCGGCUAACUCCGUGCCAGCAGCCGCGGUAAUACGGAGGAUCCAAGCGUUAUCCGGAUUUAGUGGGUUUAAAGGGUGCGUAGGCGGAUUGAUAAGUUAGAGGUGAAAUGUCCGAGCUCAACUCGGGAACUGCCUCUAAUACUGUUGAUCUAGAGAGUAGAUGCGGUAGGCGGAAUGUAUGGUGUAGCGGUGAAAUGCUUAGAGAUCAUACAGAACACCGAUUGCGAAGGCAGCUUACCAAUCUAUAUCUGACGUUGAGGCACGAAAGCGUGGGGAGCAAACAGGAUUAGAUACCCUGGUAGUC